UCGAGAGGUGGUGCAUGGCCGUCGUCAGUUCGUACUGUGAAGCAUCCUGUUAAGUCAGGCAACGAGCGAGACCCACGUCCACAGUUGCCAGCAUACCCUCCGGGGUGAUGGGUACACUGUGGAGACCGCCGCUGCUAAAGCGGAGGAAGGAGUGGGCAACGGUAGGUCAGUAUGCCCCGAAUCUCCCGGGCUACACGCGGGCUACAAUGGUUGGUACAAUGGGCAUCUACCCCGAAAGGGGAAGGAAAUCUCUUAAAGCCAAUCGUAGUUCGGAUUGAGGGCUGCAACUCGCCCUCAUGAAGCUGGAAUCCGUAGUAAUCGCGUUUCAACAGAACGCGGUGAAUACGUCCCUGCUCCUU
rnacentral:rRNA from 1 species